UUGAAAUUAAAAUUAUUUUUCUUGAAAAUUAAUAGUUAAGUUCUUAAAAUUUAAAAAAUUUGGCGGUAUUUAAAUUUAUUUAGAGGAAUUUGUUUUUUAAUCGAUAUUUCACGGGUAUCUUACUUAAUUUUUGAAUUUGUAUAUCGUUGUUAUAAGAUUAUCUUUAAAAAGAAAUUAAUUUUCUAAUUUAAUAAAUUAAUAUUUAAAUCAAAUCAAGGUGCAGUUUAUAAUUAAGUUUAAAUGAAUUACAAUAAAGAAUAUUUAUAUGAAUUAAGAUUUUAAAUAAUUUUAUGAAGGUGGAUUUAAAUGUAAAGUUUUAAAUAUAAAGAUUUUUUGAUAAUUUUAUUUAAAUAUGU
rnacentral:rRNA from 1 species